GACAACAACAAAUCGGACUUGGAGUGUUUUUAUUGUUAAAUAUUUUUUAAGCAUUGAACGAUUAGUGUGUGUGUUUACGAUGGAUUAUUAUAAUAUUAUGAAUGUGAAUAACAGUGUUAUGAUAUAUAACCGGAAUGAAACUGGUGAGACUGCAUUUUCGAUUUCGUUAAAAUGUCGAAUAAAGCGAUGUUUUGUUGAAUGAUUGAUGGAUUAAAUUUAAGAAAAGUGUAAGUGAAUUGUUCUUUAACUGUUCGAAUGAAUUCGAUGUUGAAUUAAAAUUGUAAUUACUUUGAUGAAUAAGUCGUUCCUUUGUCAGUGGAUCAAAGAAUGUCUAUCCACAAAGAAUUGCCUGCUUACAUCCAGUGCUUUAAAAUGGAAGAGAUGGAUUACGAUGAAGAAAUGUGUUAAGAAUUUUAACUCGUCAUGGAAGCAAAUUAAACUUUACAAAAAUAAACAUGGUUAUUACACAACUUCGCGGGAGCAUAUAUAAUAUCUCGUGACGUUCGGAGACAAUGCGCUGUUGAUAAGAAACUAUGAAGAAAUGAGAUAUGUGAUUAAUAGGAAAGAGAGCUAUAUAAUGAGUGUAUACGGAGACAUCGUGAAACAACGGACGCUGAUGGUUAUUAUCAUUACACCUUUAGCCAAAGUGUGAGCCUUCCUCAUUACUUCAACCAGAUGGGACCGCUAUACUAACUGUCUUUGAUGAAGAUCCAUAUCUUUGGUUUUAGAAUAGAUGGCGAGCCGCGCCAACUCAAUUUCAUAAUUGAUGAAAAUCAGACUAUGGCUAAAGAUGGUUGCGAAGCUCAAGGCCCGAACGCUGUCAUCUCAAUUAUUGAUUGGGCGAUCAAAAAACAUGGCGUUAUUACGGCGUAAUUUGUCAUUCGUGUAGAUUGUGCCAUUACAGCACGUACAUAAAUCAACUCAAUGAAUAGUUCUUUUAUGCAUUUUUAUUCAGUUUUUGACAUAAUGUUUCCUGGUCAAUAUAAUUAUUUAAAUUAGUUGUUAAUGCAAUAUUCCCAAGUCCAUGUAAUUCUCCAAGUAACUAAUAACGUUUCCAAGAUGACAAAAUCCGUGUAAAUCACCCAGACAGGACCCAUCCCAGGUAGGGCCCUGCAGAUAAACCUCUAGCGUGUCUCCUAUGGGUUAACUCCUUUCUGUUUUAGAUUCAAAAGAAGCAUUGCUUAAUAUAUACCUGUAUCGUUACAUAAACAUGUCAACUUGAUGGGUCAAACCAAUUUUUUUAAAGCAUAUACGGGCAUAUUUAUUAUCUGGUAAUUGACUCGACGCGAAAACAACCAUCUAUUAACCAUGUAAUCUUGUCAUGUUAUAAUUUAAACGGACUGAACCCAUUUACAAGCGUGCAUCAACUGUCAACAAACUAAUGAGUUCCGGCCAAACUGACGUUAACACAGGACAUGCAUUAUUGCGAACAAGAUAUAUACAUCAAGUAUGCGACAAGAUAACUGUCCAGGUAUACAUGUGUAUAAUAAAUCUAUACAAUAUAGGGAUAAUACACGUUUUCGAGGGCAUGAUUAUCUGCGGGCGCUCGAAAAAUCCGUUCCCGCAGAUGAUCAUGUCCGAGAAAAUGUGUAUUUUCGCUAUUAUUGCAUAAACAAAUCACACAUACCAAAAUAAUUUUAAAUAACAUUGAAAACAAUUUUUGUUCAUUCGACAUCGACAAAAUAAUUUGAUUAUUUCAAUACAGUUCAAGGUUGUGUUUUACAUAUGCCUCACUCGGUCAUCAUACGAAAUGACGAGGCUUUACCUCGGAUAGGCAAUUUUCGAUGUAAAAUGUGUUUAAACAGUGGAUUAAUGCAAAGUUGAAAUGCAGCCGCGCAAAGUAAGAAAUGUGGAAUUAUUUUGGAAUUUACAGCAGGAACGUUGAAGGUACAUUAACACUUACAUUUACAGCAGUCUUUUGAAAGUGUUGCGUAAAUAACCUUAACUUCAUUGACGUUGCCAAUAAAAUAAAGCUGUUGUCAAGAGAGUGCAGAUGGUAUAACUUGAAAAGUGGAUUGAAAUAGUCAUUAUCCCUGCAUGCAUGAGGAAACUGGUGCUUAUUCAGUUCCCCAUUUAUGCUUGGAAAGUCGUCGAAGGCUGGAGAAGGAAAGUAACUGCGCGUGGACCAGAUUAUGGAUAUGAAACACACAUAACAGGGCUUGAACGGCAAGUGAAUCGCAUUGUUAAUACAAGAUUGCCAAGUUUCUGUACCCCGCCACAGGGCAUUAAAGAUAGAGUUUAUGCAAUAAUUCAUUUUUUUUACACUUUGUGAGAUGUGUGUGUCACAUUAGCGUAUUUUUUAUAGUUAACUUUUUUUCUUAAUUGCAAACAUGCAUUGUAUGAACAAAUUUAAUAAUAUUAUUAAUUACUGACAUAUAUGUAAGUAUCUUAAACUAAUGUUUUAUCAAACAUUAUCUUUAUUUUUUUUAUAUUUCAGGUCAAAUCAAAAUCCGGUUCCUGUUGGGCUACUUUAUGUAGCAAGUUAUUACUGGACAGAAACACACAAUCGAGUACCUUAUUCAGAUACCCGGUUGGUUACUCAACGCAAGAUACUGAUAUUUAAAUUGAUUCGCAAAUUUGAACGCAUGAGUGCUGGAUGAGUAUAGUCCUUUAACAUUAUCAAGCAGUUUUAGGUGUCAAACGAUUUUGAAAUAUUAAUUGGUUGAUUUAUAGCGCCUCGGUAAUGUUUAAUUUAGAGGGUUUAAACCAAAGAUCAGCACUCUAGAAAGUAUUGGAGAAUUUACGGAAAUCGUAUAAUGCGAAGAUGUAUAUCUUAACAAUAUAUUGUUGUCAUUGAAAAGCAGUUAAAAGUUACCAUUAGAAAGCUUAAAAUCGUGAUAUGUCUAUAACUUCGUGGCAUGAAUUGGUUUUAUAUUUUCGUAUAGAUAAGUACUAUGAAAGCAAUGAAAGGCAAUUAUUCCAUUAUGGUGAUGUAUCUCAAAUAAAUACCCAUAAAAUAAAUAGCGAAAGUUUUUUAUAUAUUCAUUAGAAAUAAGGUCAUCACCAUUAGAUUUCCCGUUUUUCUAAGUUAUGUAUUGUUUUCUUAACUUCGUUUUCAUUUAUCACGUACUGGAGACAAAUGCUUUUUCAAUAUUCGGAACGUAGGUUAUGCAAUUAUCUUCACGCAAAUAAUUUAUGAACUCGAAACACAAAAUGGAUUUAUAUUUUCUUUCAAGUGAUUAUAUUUUGUUACUUAGAUGAUUUACAUAAUUCCCGUAUUUUUUAUAUGAAUAAUGGCUAAUUGCGCGCAUUGAAUGCAAUGGGCCAUUGGCAACGGUCUUUUGUAUAUUUAUUGUAUUUGUUUACUACUUGCUUUGUUGAUUUCGAUUUUUUUUCAGGACACAUAUUUUUGGUUCAUUUGUGAAACUGUGCGCAGUUUUAUAAUUAUCAUGGAACCAUAUUUUCUUAAAUAUUAUAUUCGGGUGUUUUGGCUCACUUCACUAGGACGUGUUGUUUUGCUCUCCAAUGUGAUCUUUAAACAUGCCUUCGUCUCUUGAUAUUCACCAAUAAGGUUGGCUUUAGUAUUCAAUGAAGCAAAUUCAUUGGCAGCAUCAUAACAAGAGGAGAGGUAAGUUUAUUCGUUUGAAUCAAUGUAUUUCUUGAUCACGGAAUAA